rnacentral:rRNA from 1 species
UAGGGAAUCUUCCGCAAUGGGCGAAAGCCUGACGGAGCAACGCCGCGUGAGUGAUGAAGGUCUUCGGAUCGUAAAACUCUGUUAUCAGGGAAGAACAUAUGUGUAAGUAACUGUGCACAUCUUGACGGUACCUAAUCAGAAAGCCACGGCUAACUACGUGCCAGCAGCCGCGGUAAUACGUAGGUGGCAAGCGUUAUCCGGAAUUAUUGGGCGUAAAGCGCGCGUAGGCGGUUUUUUAAGUCUGAUGUGAAAGCCCACGGCUCAACCGUGGAGGGUCAUUGGAAACUGGAAAACUUGAGUGCAGAAGAGGAAAGUGGAAUUCCAUGUGUAGCGGUGAAAUGCGCAGAGAUAUGGAGGAACACCAGUGGCGAAGGCGACUUUCUGGUCUGUAACUGACGCUGAUGUGCGAAAGCGUGGGGAUCAAACAGGAUUAGAUACCCUGGUAGUCCACGCCGUAAACGAUGAGUGCUAAGUGUUAGGGGGUUUCCGCCCCUUAGUGCUGCAGCUAACGCAUUAAGCACUCCGCCUGGGGAGUACGACCGCAAGGUUG